rnacentral:rRNA from 1 species
GGGGGGGGGGGUGCCUAAUACAUGCAAGUCGAGCGGACAGAUGGGAGCUUGCUCCCUGAUGUUAGCGGCGGACGGGUGAGUAACACGUGGGUAACCUGCCUGUAAGACUGGGAUAACUCCGGGAAACCGGGGCUAAUACCGGAUGCUUGUUUGAACCGCAUGGUUCAAACAUAAAAGGUGGCUUCGGCUACCACUUACAGAUGGACCCGCGGCGCAUUAGCUAGUUGGUGAGGUAAUGGCUCACCAAGGCAACGAUGCGUAGCCGACCUGAGAGGGUGAUCGGCCACACUGGGACUGAGACACGGCCCAGACUCCUACGGGAGGCAGCAGUAGGGAAUCUUCCGCAAUGGACGAAAGUCUGACGGAGCAACGCCGCGUGAGUGAUGAAGGUUUUCGGAUCGUAAAGCUCUGUUGUUAGGGAAGAACAAGUGCCGUUCAAAUAGGGCGGCACCUUGACGGUACCUAACCAGAAAGCCACGGCUAACUACGUGCCAGCAGCCGCGGUAAUACGUAGGUGGCAAGCGUUGUCCGGAAUUAUUGGGCGUAAAGGGCUCGCAGGCGGUUUCUUAAGUCUGAUGUGAAAGCCCCCGGCUCAACCGGGGAGGGUCAUUGGAAACUGGGGAACUUGAGUGCAGAAGAGGAGAGUGGAAUUCCACGUGUAGCGGUGAAAUGCGUAGAGAUGUGGAGGAACACCAGUGGCGAAGGCGACUCUCUGGUCUGUAACUGACGCUGAGGAGCGAAAGCGUGGGGAGCGAACAGGAUUAGAUACCCUGGUAGUCCACGCCGUAAACGAUGAGUGCUAAGUGUUAGGGGGUUUCCGCCCCUUAGUGCUGCAGCUAACGCAUUAAGCACUCCGCCUGGGGAGUACGGUCGCAAGACUGAAACUCAAAGGAAUUGACGGGGGCCCGCACAAGCGGUGGAGCAUGUGGUUUAAUUCGAAGCAACGCGAAGAACCUUACCAGGUCUUGACAUCCUCUGACACUCCUAGAGAUAGGACUUCCCCUUCGGGGCAGAGUGACAGGUGGUGCAUGAUGUCGUCAGCUCGUGUCGUGAGAUGUUGGGUAGUCCCGCACGAGCGCACCCUUGAUCUAGUGCCAGCAUUCAGUGGGCACCUCUAAGGUGACUGCCGUGACAAACCGGAAGAAGUUG